UCGGAUGCGAUCAUACCAGCACUACA
rnacentral:rRNA from 1 species